GCUAUUCCCACAUAAUUGGACAUUAAAUCCUUCCGAUGUUUUGUUGUUACAGGUAAUGCUGCUGUGAUAACUUCAUGUGUGUAGCUUUUCCUUUCCUUUAAAUUAUGUCCUGUGAAGAGAUUCCCAGGAGUGAAACUACUGAAAGAUAAGAAAGAGUGGUAUAGUUGAGAUGAAAUUAGCAUUAGGAACAGAAUUGAAGACAAAGAUCAGCCCAGCAAUGGCCCAUUCCCCUGCAGGGAGAAUUCUCAACCAGAUAUUGACUGGUUUAAUUGAUUUCGUGGUGUUCCUGCUCAUCAUGAAUAUAUCCACAAUAACCACAUCAGGGUUGUGGAAAAACUCAAAAGAGCCAAUACAUAUGAAAAUCUUUUUUUAAAAAAAGCAACAUAUACAUACGUACUUCAAAAUUUUUUAAAAAUUUCUGCUAUACGGAGUGAACAGAACCAAUCUGAAGCAGGAUGCAACCCAGUCAAGCGAGAACACUGUACUCAACCUAAAAAAGUGACUCUCAAGAGGUACCUGGUAAUUCAG
rnacentral:lncRNA from 10 species